GCCCUAGUAACGGCGAGUGAAGCGGCAACAGCUCAAAUUUGAAAUCUGGCUCUUUCAGAGUCCGAGUUGUAAUUUGCAGAGGGCGCUUUGGCGUUGGCAGCGGUCCAAGUUCUUUGGAACAGGACGUCACAGAGGGUGAGAAUCCCGUACGUGGUCGCUAGCCUUCGCCGUGUAAAGCCCCUUCGACGAGUCGAGUUGUUUGGGAAUGCAGCUCUAAAUGGGAGGUAAAUUUCUUCUAAAGCUAAAUACUGGCCAGAGACCGAUAGCGCACAAGUAGAGUGAUCGAAAGAUGAAAAGCACUUUGGAAAGAGAGUCAAAUAGCACGUGAAAUUGUUGAAAGGGAAGCGCUUGCAGCCAGACUUGCCUGUAGUUGCUUAUCCGGACUUUUGUCCGGUGCACUCUUCUGCGGGCAGGCCAGCAUCAGUUUGGGCGGUUGGAUAAAGGUCUCUGUCAUGUACCUCCUUUCGGGGAGGCCUUAUAGGGGAGACGACAUGCAACCAGCCUGGACUGAGGUCCGCGCAUCUGCUAGGAUGCUGGCGUAAUGGCUGUAAGCGGCCCGUCUUGAAACACGGACCAAGGAGUCUAACAUCUAUGCGAGUGUUUGGGUGUCAAGCCCAGACGCGUAAUGAAAGUGAACGGAGGUGGGAACCCUUUGGGUGCACCAUCGACCGAUCCUGAUGUCUUCGGAUGGAUUUGAGUAAGAGCAUGGCUGUUGGGACCCGAAAGAUGGUGAACUAUGCUUGAAUAGGGUGAAGCCAGAGGAAACUCUGGUGGAGGCUCGCAGCGGUUCUGACGUGCAAAUCGAUCGUCAAAUUUGGGCAUAGGGGCGAAAGA
rnacentral:rRNA from 1 species